GAUGAACGCUGGCGGCGUGCUUAAUACAUGCAAGUCGAACGGAAAGGCCCUGCUUUUGCGCGGCGCUCGAGAGGCGCACGCGUGUGUAACACGCGAGUAACCCGUCCUUGUCUGUCGGAGAUCUCCACGAAACUGGGGCUCAUACCGCAUAGGAGCUCCUGCUGCACGGGGGUGGUUGGAAAGUUUCGGCGGUUGUGGCUGUACUAGCGGCUUAUCAGCUUGUUGGUGGGGUUGUGGCGUACCAAGGUUGCGACGGGUAGCCGGCCUGGGAGGGCGACCGGCCACAAUAGGCCUGCGGUACGCCGCAGUAUGCUACGGGAGGCAGCAGUGGGGAAUAUUGCACAGUGGGCGGACGCCUGAUGCAGCGGCGCCGCGAGCGGGAUGACGGCCUUCGAGUUGUAAACCGCUUUCGCCUGUGACGAAGCGUGAGUGACGGUAAUGGGUAAAGAAGCACCGGCUAACUACGUG
rnacentral:rRNA from 1 species